AACCUCGACGACGAUCUCAAUGGCUUGACGCCAGGAAAACUCUCACAUUCCGUCAUUGUUCCUGUUGUAUUUCCGGCUAGUCAUGGUAGAGGCAGAUGUGAGAGGGUUGAACAGUAGCAGUGUGUGUUCGCCGAUUGCAGUGGUGUUCGUCAGUGAUGUCGUGCAUUUGGUUUCCGACGAACAACGGCUAGUUCGAGUUUAUUGGUUUUUGGUUUGAGUGAGCUCCUAAUUGAAGAACAUAGUGAGUCGAUUAGGGAGGGCAUGUGUUCAAUGGGUGUAAUGGUUGCCUUUCAUGUCUUUUUAAUGGCUGAAAGUUUAUGCAGCUUUGCUUGGCUGGAUGUCUAUGGUUGCGGAAUCGCGGUGAAGCUUGGCGACUGACUUCUAGAGCGAGGGUGUUUGGAGAGGAAGGUUGUGUUUGUUAAGCUGGUGAAAGGGUUGUUGUGAUGUUGUUAUUAGAAUUGGAGUUAAUGGUUGCCUACAAGUUGAUGAAGAAGAUGACAAAAUGGAGAAGAAGAGGAGCUCUCUGUUGGGUUG
rnacentral:lncRNA from 1 species